CCAUACUAUGUGAGGCGUGUGUAACUGUCCAGGAGGAGACAAUAAUCCAACUGCACUCUUCAGUGUCCUGCUGCUGAAUGAGUGUGUGUAUACUAAGUAUGCUGAUUGGCCUGAUCCCCUGACUUUUGCUGUCCACCUGAGUCCCAUACUAUGUGAGGCGUGUGUAACUGUCCAGGAGGAGACAAUAAUCCAACUGCACUCUUCAGUGUCCUGCUGCUGAAUGAGUGUGUGUAUACUAAGUAUGCUGAUUGGCCUGAUCCCCUGACUUUUGCUGUCCACCUGAGUCCCAUACUAUGUGAGGCGUGUGUAACUGUCCAGGAGGAGACAAUAAUCCAACUGCACUCUUCAGUGUCCUGCUGCUGAAUGAGUGUGUGUAUACUAAG